GCAUGUGCGAGAGUCGGACAUGUCUUGGACGAGAACGAAUUGUGCGAGCGAAACAAGCGUAGGCGUGCGAGGAGAGAUCUCGAUCGAGAGCGAGGAGUGCGAGAGAGGUUGCGACAGGACCCCGGGAGGACGAGAUCGAGCGAGAAGAAGCUGCCGAACCUUCGGACCUCCGAGAGGAGAGCAUCGUUACCGAACACAAAAACAUCAGCAUAGAGGAUAUUAUAAAUUUUAAGUGCACGUGAAAGAGAUCCUGACAGACAUAAUACUGUUCUGCAAGUUUUGGGAAAAGAAAUAUUAUCAGAGCUGCCCUACUGCAGAAAAAAAGUAUAACAAAGAAAAACAGAAUAAAGUAUUUCGUCAUAUCAAUAAAAAAAAAAACAGGAUUAUAUUAUAUCCACGAGUUACAAUAUUAUGCAUACGUGACAGCAGAAUAUAAGUUAAGUCUUACUAACGUAAAACAUUUGAUUUCUACUGCGCUUAAUUGCAGAAGAUUCUAUAACGUAUUAUUUUGUGUGCGAUGAGAUAAAUAAAAAUUAUGCACAAAAAUCAAGCAAACAGUUUUUUAAUUUGACACAUGAAUAUAACUUUAAAAGAAUUUUUAACUGUUUAAAGCAUUAUCGAUUUAUAUAUAAACAAAUAAAAUUUAUGAAUAUGCCGAAAACGAAGAUUCUUUUGAAAAAAACAAUUAAUGAUCGUAACGCAAUAUUUUGCGCCACAUGUGUCUUAUUCGGACGUAAAAACGUGGUCAAAUGGAAUAACGCAAACAGUACUAUGUCGACUGAAAAUUAAAUAUCCGUCUCAUUCAAUUUGCUCUACGGUUUUAGAGCAAUUUUCUUUUUGGAGAGACAACAAUAUUAAUGAUAAUUUCUGGGAUGAAACAGAAUCAAAGCAAAUUAUGGGCAUUCUCGAAGAAUAUAUAUUUUCGGAGUUAGAAAUCCAUAAAUUGCAUCAAUUAUUAAAGACAACAGAUCUCGAAACAAAAUAUAUAAAAUAUUUUGCAGGAAGUUUUCGAAGACAUUUAUUGAUUUUCAUUUAUAACAUCAUGAGACUCGGCAAGAAGACUCGGCGUACGUUGCUGCGUAACAACGUAUAAAAAUGAUAUUGGAAUCAUAUAGAAACCAAAAUAUAAUGCAAGUAUUCGGUGUAAUACAGAAUUCUUUUAUCUAUGUCUGAACCCUCAUCUAUCUUACCCAUCGAACGUUAUCAUGGAAUUAUAUCCAAAUAAUGUAUUUUCUUCUGCGACUGUUAAUUUAUUUAGUCAUAUUUCGGUAACACAUUUUAUAAUGAAAAAUUACCACUUCUAUCUAAAAUAUUAUCAAAAAUAUUGCAGGGAUUUCAAUAUUAUUUUCAUUUUACUAUACCGAUAUUUUGCAGUAGACAAGCCCAUAAAUAUUGAAAAUAUAUACGAAAUGAUUAUAGAUACAAUAAAGAUUAAUUCUGACAAAGUCAAAAAAUCAGUAAAAAGAAGGACAAAAGAAGUUAAAUUUGCUGUUGGAAUGAUAGUAAGGCAUACGUGGAAAAAUCAUCUUUUUAAUGGCCAUGACGGUGUAAUUAUUGGGUGGCACAAUAAAUGUGACGCAAUGUUCCUAAACAAUGUAAAGAGGCCUCCUUUGCUUUCCUUUCUACAAUGUUUUGAAUUCAAUCAUUUGCGAAUGUGAGAAAUUUUCAUCCAGUGCCUAUCAACAGUACUAUAUACUUCUCACCGAGAAUAUUGAGAUAAGUUAUGCGCAGCAAGAUCAUCUAUCAAUAUGUCCACCAAAAAAAAUAAAUCAUAUGGAAAUUGGAAGAUAUUUCUGCAGUUUCGAAGAGACUCAUUACGUGCCGAAUGAAAGCUUAAAAGAAGAAUAUCCAGAAGAUAUCGCUGCAAUAACCAGAAUAUUUGCCAAACAAUAGUUUUUAUUAAAAUAUCCAGCUGUUCUCUCAACAAUAUUUCUCAAUUUUAUCUUACAUUAUGAAUGUGUACGUGUACGUGUACAUAUACAAUAUAUAUAUAUAAAAUUUUAUUUUAUAAAUUUUGUAAAUCUUACAAUAUAAAAAAGUACAUUUUAUUGUAGAUAUAAAUAAAAAAAAAUAAAGAU